UAAGGAAUAUUGGUCAAUGGACGCAAGUCUGAACCAGCCAUGCCGCGUGAAGGAUGAAGGUCCUCUGGAUUGUAAACUUCUUUUAUCUGGGACGAAAACGGGAUUUUUAUCUCAAUUGACGGUACCAGAGGAAUAAGCACCGGCUAACUCCGUGCCAGCAGCCGCGGUAAUACGGAGGGUGCGAGCGUUAUCCGGAUUUACUGGGUUUAAAGGGUGCGUAGGUGGGCUUAUAAGUCAGUGGUGAAAUCUCCGAGCUUAACUUGGAAACUGCCGUUGAUACUAUAGGUCUUGAAUUAUCUGGAGGUAAGCGGAAUAUGUCAUGUAGCGGUGAAAUGCUUAGAUAUGACAUAGAACACCAAUUGCGAAGGCAGCUUACUACAUAUAAAUUGACGCUGAGGCACGAAAGCGUGGGGA
rnacentral:rRNA from 1 species